AUGAUUUAUCCGGAUUUUGUUCAUCCGAAACUAAAUCACUAGUAUCAACAUCCGGUGUAAUUUUUGCUUGUAUUUUGGAGAAACUCGAUUGAUUUCUAGCAAACUUGGUUUACCACUACAUCGUCGCUUAUUAUUAUUUGUUGCUGCUUGGGACAUUAAAGUUAAGUCAGCAACCGUCUACCAGACUGCAAGAUUCAUCUCUUCCAAAGGAUGUCGUACCUUUCCAGAUACACUGUGUUUUGUGUGGAUAUGAAAUGCAGAGUGGUACCACCAAUCACCUAAGCCACCAUUCCCCUAACAGACAAUAGGCUCAAGGGGACAGUUCGUGCAAUUUACAGAAAAGCUCUCAAUUGUAGCCCUACGAACUUAAGAUACUGCCGAUGGUGAAGCUUGGAUGCACCGGGCCGGUUUUCCAGCCGUGUGGAAUCUCCAGCUGAACUGGGGCCGGGAAUUAUAUAAGACUCCUUAGCAGCAUGAGUGCCAGCCAGUCAUUGCUGUUCUUGCAUUGCUGAGGAGGACAGUCCUGCCAACAUAACAGUUUGUUCAAUAACAGGAGACAAACAGAAACACAGAGGUGCUAUACAUUCUGAUAGAAAAACAAAAGCAUCUCCCAUCAUUUUGGCGUGGCUCAGAUCAAGAGGAGAAUUUUAAGA